UUCCGAUUCAGUUGGUCUGGGUGGGGCCUGAGAUGCUGCAUUUGUAGCAAGUGCCUGGUGCAGCUGAUGCCACUGGUGCCACGGA
rnacentral:miRNA from 1 species